rnacentral:rRNA from 1 species
UACGAAGGGGGCUAGCGUUGCCCGGAAUCACUGGGCGUAAAGCGCACGUAGGCGGAUCCUUAAGUCGGGGGUGAAAUCCUGGAGCUCAACUCCAGAACUGCCUUCGAUACUGAGGAUCUCGAGUCCGGGAGAGGUGAGUGGAACUGCGAGUGUAGAGGUGAAAUUCGUAGAUAUUCGCAAGAACACCAGUGGCGAAGGCGGCUCGCUGGCCCGGUACUGACGCUGAGGUGCGAAAGCGUGGGGAGCAAACAGG